rnacentral:rRNA from 1 species
AAAGAUUAAGCCAUGCAUGUCUAAGUAUAAGCAAUUAUACAGCGAAACUGCGAAUGGCUCAUUAAAUCAGUUAUCGUUUAUUUGAUAGUACCUUACUACAUGGAUACCUGUGGUAAUUCUAGAGCUAAUACAUGCUAAAAAUCCCGACUUCGGAAGGGAUGUAUUUAUUAGAUUAAAAACCAAUGCCCUUCGGGGCUUCCUGGUGAUUCAUGAUAACUUCUCGAAUCGCACGGCCUUGCGCCGGCGAUGGUUCAUUCAAAUUUCUGCCCUAUCAACUUUCGACGGCUGGGUCUUGGCCAGCCGUGGUGACAACGGGUAACGGGGAAU